rnacentral:lncRNA from 1 species
AGUUAGAUAUAUUAUAUAAAUAAGAAUGAUAAAUUAGAUUUUAAUUUAAGUAGUUCGAUAUAUAAAUGUUAUUUAAUAUGUUAAAAAUGUUAUUAAAAUAAUCCUCGUAUGACUUAUUUGUAGUAGAUAAAAAAUAGGAUUCUAAAUUAAUAAAUUAGAUAUAUGAGUUAUUAAAAUUAUGAAUAUUUAAAAAUUAAAAUGGAAAUUGAAACCUUUGAACGUUAAGCAAUUUCUAAACGCAUAUAACCAAUAAGCCAUGAUAAAAUGUAUAUAUAUAACCAUUCAUGUUUCAAUCACUAUAAACCAGAGAAAACAAACUAUCCAAGUUCUACCACGAGCUCAAACAUUUUCCCCUUCUUCACCCACACCA